UCUCCGGUGACUAGAGAUUGACUGGAUACAGUGCAGUAGGAGAAGAGAUCUAGCUCUACCUGAACCCUCCUAAUGGUGUCUUUAAAUCUUAAACCUCGACUUCAAACAAACAGCUUCAAAAGCAGGGUUAACGCCUCCCACUUAAGGCCUCAGGACACAUGAACCCUUCAGACAUUCAUGAUAAGAAGGGCGUCCCGGACCUUUCGCUUCACCUUAAACAGAAUCUCAGUGGCACCUGGGUUCACCCUCCGAAUGGCACCUCCAUUGGCAGCAGCAGUGUGUUGGUACAGCAUGUCAAAGUGGAACAACGUUGAAGUCAGCCAGGUCAGUGUCGUUCCCCACUGCAGCUCCUGAGAGAGUCGGCUAGGUUGCCUGCCAGUCUGUAGCUGUGCCAGGCCCACAGAGGUCAGAGAACUGUCUUGCAACGGGGGUGGAAACUGGAUUGAGCCGGAUGUGACUGCUGAAUAAAACAGCUGCACAGGGCGCAUGUUAUCUAGUCAUGCACAAACGCAUGGGCAAACCCACACGGAAUUUGUGCCGCAGAACUCUGAUUUCAGCAGAAUUACAAAACUUGUCACUCACAAGUUUUUGUUUAUUAAAUAUUUGGGCUGAGUUUAAUAUGCUUUCAGAUAGCAACAAAAUUGUAGUACUUUCACACAUUUGUCCAAUUUAACAGUGCACUCAGUAUUUUUUUCCCCUCAAAUUAACGAUAUAUCUAAAAUGUUGUGCGGUAAA